GCAAUGCCCGCACUUCCGGACCCCAGACUCUUCCUACGGCGACUGACACCUCAGACACGCGUUGUGGGGGGCGGCGCUCUGGCUCCGGGGCUGUGCCCAGCGCGAGCGUGGCCGGCACCCACUUGCUGCAGAGCCGGCACUGCACUGGGGUUCUUGGGGGCGGCUCCUCCAGACGUCUCUGCGGGUUGUCGGGUGCUGCCGAGUUGGGUUGGGGGACGCUACAGGUAGUGGGUCCGGAGCAGCGGCUGGCCCCUCAUCUCACUGCCCUUCCUCGGACCCCACCGUCCUCUGGAAGCUUGUGCAGGGCACCUGCCACUGUGACCACCUGGACGCAGAUACCUGCUUUCCCACAACAGCAAGGAAGAACCAUGGCCCAGGGGUCACUGUCAUUCGGGGACGUGGCUGUGGGCUUCACCCGGAAAGAGUGGCAGCAGCUGGACCUGGAGCAGAGGACCCUGUACCAGGAUGUGAUGCUGGAGAACUACAGCCACCUGCUCUCUGUGGGCUGAACUGUCUGCUUGCUUGGAAGGCCCAGCUGGCUCAGCACAAAUCCUUUAACCGUUUCUCCCCAAGAGGGUGUCAAGUCAGCAAACCAGCUGUGAUCUCCAGUUUGGAGCAGGGGAAGGAGCCAUGGAUGGAGGAGGAAGAGAUAAGGACGUGGAGCUUCCCAGAAGAAGUUUGGCAAGUUGCUACCCAGCCAGAUAGCCAACAGCAACACGAAGACCAACAUUUGAGCCAUACGUUUCUAGACAAGAAAGACUGGACCGGAAAUGAGCUUCAUGAAUGUAACGAACUUGGAAAAAAACUCCAUCAGAACCCAAACCUCCUUCCAUCAAAACAGCAGGUCCGCACACGUGACUUGUGCAGAAAGAGUUUGAUGUGUAACCUGGACUUCACUCCUAACGCCUACCUGGCGAGGAGGAGAUUUCAGUGCGACGGCCACGGAAACUUCUUCUCUGUUCGAAACUUGAAACUCCACCUUCAGGAGCGAAUCCACGCGGAGGUCACCAGUGUGGAAGUGCUUUAAGCUGUGACGAGGGAGUUCCUGCAGCUCAGGGAGCCAGUAGUGAGAAACCCCACGAAUGCACGAAGUGUGGGAAAGCCUUGUGCUGCAGAUCGGACCUCAGGGUACAUCACGGGGUCCACGCGGGGGAGAAGUCCUCUGCGUGCAGUGAACGGGGGAGUGGUUUCAGGGAGAAGCUUUGCCCUGACAAACAGGGAACUCACACAAAGGAGAAACCCGCUAGAGACAGCAGAAGUGGUAAAACGAUCUUCCGGAAGACACGCCUGUGUGUCCCGGGCACAGUUCACGCCGGAGCGAAGCCUUACAAGUGUUGGGAGUGUGAGAAAACCUCCCACAAGUCGCGCCUCAUCGAGCACCUUCGCUCCCACACGGGGGAGAAGCCCUGCGGCUGCAGGGAAUGCGGAAAGGCCUUUUUCCAGAAGUCACACCUCAUCCUGCGUCAGAGGACUCACACGGGGGAGAAGCCCUGCGACUGCGCGGAGUGCGGGAAAGCUGCUCCCAGGACUCCUGCCUCCUGACCCACAGGCGGACUCGCGGGGAAGAAACCGUACGAGUGCUCCGACUGCGGGAAGACCUCCCGGAAGGCGAACCUCAUCCGCCACCACGGGAUCCACACGAGGGAGAAGCUGCAUGGGUGAAGAGACCGUGGGAUCGUCACAAAGUCACAUCACGAGGUCGCCGAACCUCUAGGAGGGACAUCGCCAGGGAAACAGCCCUCAACCAAAACUACGACGCCACCCUAGGCAGAGGUCCCAUAUCGGGGUGAAAUUCGGCCACUUUGGUGGCUUAAGGAAGGCAUGGUCAGCUGGGCGCUGUGGCUCACGCCUGUAAUCCCAGCGCUUUGGGACGCCGAGGCGAGUGGAUCACCUGAGGUCAGGAGUUCAAGACCAGUCUGGCCAACAUGGUGAAAGCUCGGCUCUACUAAAAGUACAAAAAAUUAGCCGGGAAUUGUGGCAGGCGCCUGUAAUUCCAGCUACUCGGGAGGCUGAGGCAGGAGAAUCGGUUGAACCUGGGAGGCGGAGAUUGCAGUGAGUCGAGGUCGCACCACUGCACUCCAGCUUGGGUGACAGAGUGAGACUCAGUCUCAAAAACAAACAACAAAAAAGCAUGGUCUGUUAAAACUAACGACGGAAGGGUAAUGGUAUGCUAGAGUGAUCUAUUUUCGUAGGUGUACUUUUUUUUUUUGAGACGGAGUCCUCGUUCUAUCGCCCAGUCUGGAGGGCAGUGGUGCCAUCUCGGCUCACUGCAGCCUCUGCCUCCCGGGUUCAUGUGAUUCUCUUGUUUCAGCCUCCCGAGUAGCUGGUAUUACAG
rnacentral:lncRNA from 1 species